UAGAUUAACAUCGAUUUGUAUGAUAAAAGAAUAGUUGGAAUACGGUAGUAUUCCUGUCUUCGGACUUGAAUAUGAAGUAUCUAAUGAGAAUUAUCGUAUAGAUUGGCAAGUCAAGCUCAUGCCUCAUGGCAGUGAAGUGGUCAAUGUGGAGUAUUAUCGGGUGUACACUAAAAAUUAGUUUAUGUUGAUAAUGUUUUAUAUAUGGUUACUAGCAAUAUGAGUUAACGAAUGUUAAAUUAGAAGAGUUAUAUCGACCCGUCUUGAAACACGGACCAAGGAGUCUAACAUGUAUGCGAGUCUAAGAGUGUAGAAACUUGAUUAGGCGCAAUAGAAAGUAAGAUGGUAAGAGAGUCGCAAGGCUUGCAUUAUCGAUCACUCCUCGAUCUUGAGUGAAGGAAGUAGAAUAGUAGCAUAUAUGAUAGAA
rnacentral:rRNA from 1 species